UGAUUGGAUAGCUUAACUAAAGCGUCUGGCUUUUAACCGGAAUAUAGUAGAACAACCCUACUUCCAGUCAG
rnacentral:tRNA from 2 species